GCCACAGUCUCCUGCUAUGGAAUGAAACUCACAGAGCAGCCAGGCACCUGUGUCUGGACAAGGAAUGUGGUGGUGUUCAGAAACUUGGAGACACCAGGAACUACAGAGCCACAAAGAGGGUGUCACAGCCCUGGCUUGGGGAGCUCCUAGGUCUGCACUCCCCAAAGGGCUACAGCUCUUCUCUCCUCAUCCUCCACAACAUGGCAAGUCGGGGGGGUGGCAUGUUUCAGCCCUGUUUGUGUUACAGCUCUUUCAGUUCCACCAAUCAGCAGGACUGAGUUCUGGUCCCGCCAGGAAGCAUUAAGUACUCAGACAACUGGAAGGUCAGCAAGGCAGAGAUGAGCUUCAUUGAGUAACAGAACAGCUCUCAGGAGACCUGAAAGGGUAGCUUCUUUCUGCAGGCAGGUCAUCCCAAGUGUCCAGCUCUCAGUAAACAGGAGAGCCACAGUGGGUAGCUCCUUUCUGCUGGCAGGUCAUCCCAAUGACUGUACAGCUCUCAGCGGAGAGGAGACCCACAAUGGGUAGAUCCUCUCUGAAGCUGGUAGUCCCAACAUCUGUGUGAGUCUGACGGAGUCAGGGGUUUUUAUGGGCUCAGAAGGGAAGAAGUGUGUGCUGCCAUGGGCAGGCCCAGAAAAAGCACCAUGAGUUCUCACUCCAGGCCACGGACUCCACCCGGCACUGGCAGCCUGGACCUCAUGCUUCAGGCCGUCCAUCAUUUUUCCAGAGUUGAGUCCAAGUUCCAGGGAGCUUCUGUAGCACCAAAGUAUCAAGAAGUGGAAUCGGAUCCCCACUUCUGUAGCUGAGAGCCUGCACACUGCUCAUUCCUCUCUCAGUAUUCUCCAAGUCCCUAGAAAGACAAUAAAGAGGGAAGAGAAUGGGGGAAGAGAACAUUUCCAAUGUAGUU
rnacentral:lncRNA from 1 species